GCCAAGCCUUCCACACGUCUCAGUGGCCAGGGCUCGGCAAUGAGGAAAACAGGGGCCUCAACUGGUCUUACUGGCUGUUGAAUUUCUGCUGGAGGCUCGGGACCUUCUCAGGAAAACACUGUGUUUUGUGACUUUGGUCACAAAAGUCACCUCUGGGCCACAAGGGAAAGCCCUGACUCUCCCUUCAACAGCAGAUGCUUCCUGGAGCAGCUGGCUAGAAAGGAGCUUCCUUUAGUGGAGUUGUCUCUUCCAUUCCACCUUUUCUUACAGAGCUGCCAGCUCCUGCCUUCUUUAUACUCUCUCAGCCACUUGUGCGAUGCUUCCCCAGGACCUUUGCUUAACCAAAUGAUGCCAAGACAAACUGAACAGAAGCCCUGGAGGUGGCCUAACUGUGGAUUUUAGACCUUGCACUAAACUUGUGGUUUUAGAUAUUUUCUGUUCUUGACUGGUGAUCUUUAGCCUUAUGUAUGUAUGUAUGUAUGUAUUUAUUCAUUCUUUGCAUUAGAUGCAUUCAUUAAUUUGACAAAUACUUAUUGGACAUCUGCUAUGUGCCAAGUGUUGUUCCAGCCCCAGGAGAUGAUGUGGUGAACAAAAUGGGCACAGUUCCUGGAUUUUGGAACUUACUGGGGGAAAGCAAAUGAUAAACAAAAGAAAAAUGUAUGUAAUGUGUCAGGAGGUGAUGAACACACUUACAGAAAAGCAGCAGGAUAAAGGGUUGAUGAGUGACAGCAGUGAAGGUGCUAUUUUAGGUGGGGUAGACAGGGGAACCUCUUGAUGAGGUGACAUUUGAGCAGAGAUCUUUCUUUGAAUUAAAUCUCCUUUGGAACUCCAAUAUUUAAAGCAGUUAAAAGUGGAGCUGCUCUGGUGGUGGCAUAGAAAAAUAUAGGGGAGACUGACAUUGAGUGGCCCAGGAAGGCCUUUCUGAAGAGGUGGCAUUUAAACAGAGCCGAAGGGUGAGAAGGAGCCAAGAUGUGAAAAAUAACUAUUUUUUAACUGGAAAAUGUAUAAAUGAACAUGGUAAAUAAUUCAAAUGGUACAAAAUGUAUACAGGGGAGAUGUGUCCUUAUCCCCCAGAAACUGGUCUCCUGGUUCCACUGCCUCAAAGGCAACCCUUGUUACUAGCUUUGUGGGUCUCCUUUCUAUAAUAUUCCAG
rnacentral:lncRNA from 1 species